GAUCCAGAACUAGCUGCUGGGAGACC
rnacentral:piRNA from 1 species